CGGGCCUCCGCGGGCGGCGUCAGAGUGAGUUUUGGGUUGAGGACCCCGUCUGAUUGGGCUUCUUGGGGUCGGUGGACCCCCUGAAAUAGUAUGAAAACCCCCUCCUUCGAGGACUAGGUGCAGGACUGGGCUUGGGAACCCAGCGUCGAGCAGGAGAUCUGUGCUGUGUGGGCAGCAAAACGCUGAAAACCUCCGGGAAGAGGGACGGAGGGGAGCGGGAGCCUACGUGGGAAUGAGGAGCGGUCCAGGUGGGGAAGAACUGAUGCAGAAAUGCUAUGUAUACAUUAAAUAUAGUACAAAAUGUACAUUUAAUAUAGUGUAAGAUGAAGGCCAUCGUUUUAUUCAGAUUCUUGUGAAUAGCUUCCUGUGAACACCCCCCACCCUUCAAAAAAUAAAUAAAGGUCGAAAAAGCGAAAUAAGCAUAAAAUGCCAUCUGUCCCCUCAGUUUCAUCUAACCCUAAGGAUUGAAUUAUGGGAGUAAAGGCCAGGGUGAUUCCCUGGAAUAUCCCCAGCACAUCCUAGAAUUUCUUGUAACUCUCAUAUCUGGCAUCUUUUACAGUGUUUCUCUUCAAGGGCACUGUUGGCAUUCAGGGUGAAACAAUCCUUGGCAUGAUAGGAUGUUUGCCCUCUUUGUGGGCUCUUAAGCCCCCGUAACAUCAUUUGCCCACUAAAUGCCAUCAGUGCUGUCGCUCAUUUUGGCAAUCAAAAAGUGCCACCCUUUGUUGAAAACCAC
rnacentral:lncRNA from 1 species